UACAGAGGUCUCAAGCGUUGUUCGGAUUCAUUGGGCGUAAAGGGUACGUAGGUGGCGUCGUAAGUCGGGUGUGAAAUCUCGGGGCUUAACUCCGAAACUGCAUUCGAUACUGCGGUGCUUGAGGACUGGAGAGGAGACUGGAAUUUACGGUGUAGCAGUGAAAUGCGUAGAGAUCGUAAGGAAGACCAGUGGCGAAGGCGGGUCUCUGGACAGUUCCUGACACUGAGGCACGAAGGCCAGGGGAGCAAACGGG
rnacentral:rRNA from 1 species